rnacentral:lncRNA from 1 species
GGAAAUUACGAAGCGGGUUUAGAAAGGGGUGCAUAAAAGAAUACUCAAAGAGCUUGAAUACGUGUGAAAUAUUCCUUAAAAAGGAAAAAGGCAUAGUUCGCAUAAAAAGGGUACUCAAAGAACUUGUAUACGCAUUAUAUUCCUUAAAAGGAAAAAGGCAUCGUUAGGGGCUUGGCUAAAACAUUAUCAGAGUUUGCAACGGAAGGUGUAACUGAAAUAAUCAGUGUUUACAGCGGAAUGCAUAACUGAGAUACAUGUAUGAAGACAUGUAUCCUUUCUGAGCCUACUUUAAGUUCGACAAAAACUCUACUCAGCAACAACACUUCAUCGCCCAUCACAGCUCAACCUGCACAAACAUAAACAUCGAAAGGCUAAGUACAAGAGUACUUAGUGGGCAG